CCAGAGCCGCACGGAAGUGAAGGAGGUGUUCUCCAAAGUCAAUGUUGCUGCAAAGAAACAGUUGUCAGAGAUUAAAAAGGUUGCAAUGUUCCAGGUCAAACAUAGUAGAAAAUUGGUGGCAUACUACCAGAAAAAGAACGAGAAAUUGGAGGCGGAGUGGGUUAAGAUGAAGCAGGAAAUGCAGAAGAUGAACAAGUGAGUUGAAUUAAC